rnacentral:tRNA from 2 species
GGGGGUGUAGCUCAGUGGUAGAGUGCAUGCUUUGCAUGCAUGAGGCCCUGGGUUCGAUGCCCAGCACCUCCA